GACGAACGCUGGCGGCGUGCCUAAUACAUGCAAGUCGAGCGGACCACUUCGGUGGUCAGCGGCGGACGGGUGAGUAACACGUGGGCAACCUGCCUGUAAGACUGGGAUAACACCGGGAAACCGGUGCUUAUACCGGAUAAUCCUUUCCUUCACAUGAGGUAAAGCUGAAAGACGGUUUCGGCUGUCACUUAGAGAUGGGCCCGCGGCCGAUUAGCUAGUUGGUGAGGUAACGGCUCACCAAGGCAACGAUGCGUAGCCGGCCUGGGAGGUUGAUCGGCCACACUGGGACUGAGACACGGCCCAGACUCCUACGGGAGGCAGCAGUAGGGAAUCUUCCGCAAUGGACGAAAGUCUGACGGAGCAACGCCGCGUGAGCGAUGAAGGCCUUCGGGUCGUAAAGCUCUGUUGUCAGGGAAGAACAAGUACCGGAGUAACUGCCGGUACCUUGACGGUACCUGACCAGAAAGCCACGGCUAACUACGUGCCAGCCGCCGCAGUAAAAC
rnacentral:rRNA from 1 species